rnacentral:rRNA from 1 species
UACAGAGACCUCAAGCGUUAUCCGGAAUCAUUGGGCGUAAAGCGUACCGAUAGGUGGUUAUGCAAGUCAGAUGUGAAAUCUCCGAGCUCAACUCGGAAUCUGUCAUUUGAAACUGCACAACUAGAGGGGCAAAGAGGAAGCUGGAACGAACGGUGUAGUAGUGAAAUGCGUUGAUAUCGUUCGGAACACCAAUAGCGAAGGCAGGCUUCUGGGUGCCACCUGACACUGCUAGGACGAAAGCGUGGGGAGCGAAUGGG